CACCACAUUGCCUCUUGCACUCUUUGGACCAGAGAGUUUAACAUACCAUUGAGGAGACAGCCUGCAUGCAAAGUCCCUCAAACAUAAGCACACUUAAAGAAGAGAUUAAUCACAGAGUGUUUCCAAAUGCUGAAAUCACAUUCCAUCUGCUUCCAUCUCCUUAUCCAAUGGUCAGAAGCUUAGAUGUUGAAUGGGCAUACCUUAAAGUGAAGAUUAUGAAAACAUACAUACUGCUCAACAGAGAUUCAUCAGUUUCCAGGCUGCCCCAGAGCAGUUCACCUUAGAGUGACUCAGGCUGUGGACUUUGAGAAUGCUGUGCAGAAAUUUGCUACAUAAACCCACAAAACUAUCUUAAGGUGACUUCUCUGGUGAUUAGGAAUGACUCAGAUGCGAGAAAUGGCUUUGGUUUGGAAAGUUUCAAGGAAGGACCACCAAAUAAUGAGAGAGAGGGGAGAAAGAAAUCCCAUCAUUUCAGCAUCUUUCACACUAAGCUACAGCUCAAUAUGACUUGAAAUGACAGAGAUACCAACACCAAGAAUAAGAUCAUGCAGGUGAAACGCCAGUUGACCCCUCUGAGCAGCUCUGUUAGCAGCACCACUCUUUACUCUUCCUGAAGUCAGUUCCAACAGGAUGGGGCUUUGCUCUCAAAUCCUGCAUUGUAUUAUCACUUCUCCAGUGUCACGUCAUUUAUUUACAGGCAAUUGUUUCCUUGAUUCACAGCUAUCCACACAUAUGUGAUAUGAAACCUUCCCUGCUGUAUUUCCUGGGUAUGAGCCUACAAUGUGUUGAUGUUGAUAUGAGAUGCAGAUGAUCAAAUGCGAGUAACAAAUGGACACAGCAAAGGCAUUGACAGGAGUUGGUUCUUAACUACCCUGCAAGUUCAGACCUGAACAAGAACCCCUGAAGUGCAGCCAUACAGAACCUACAUCACUGAGGUCAAUGGAGAUGGGGAAUACGAAGCAUCAUUUAGAGGCACACAGUAUCUCAGAACAUCCAAUUCUCUGGCUGAUCCAGGUUCAAAUCAAAGCUAUUGAUAUUGUCUUUAAGUCAAUAUCUUAGACCCUCGGUCACAAGAGGUUACAUAAGAUUAAAGAACUGAAUUUUUUUAAUCUAUUGAAUAUUAAAAAUGGCCACUUCUGGCUUUUCAUUUACACCAUCUGUUGCUAACAGGUUGUAUCAGCAGUUUCAGGACAGAUUAAUAAUUGUUCCUGAUUUUGGCACACCAAGAGGUUAAAAAUAAAUCUUUAGCCACAC